AACUCUAAAUUGUGGGGGGAAAGUCAGAAUUGUGAGACAAACUUGUAACUGCUGGGGGAAAAGUCUGAAUUAUGAGAUAUAAACUCCUAACUGUGAAGAAAAAAAAAAUUUGUGACAUACUUUGCAAAAGUAAAAAGUCUGAAUUAUGAGAUAUAAACUCAUAAUUGUGGGAAAAAAGUCAGAAUUGUGAGACAAACUUGUAAUUGCUGGGGGAAAAGUCUGUAUUAUGAGAUAUAAACUCCUAACUGUGAAGAAAAAAAUCAGAUUUGUGAUAUAAACUAACAUUUGAGAGAAAAAAGUCUGAAUUAUGAAAUAUAAACUCAUAAUUGUGGGAAAAAAAUCAGAAUUGUGAGACAAACUUGUAAUUGCUGGGGGAAAAGUCUGAAUUAUGAGAUAUAAACUCCUAACUGUGAAGAAAAAAUUCAGAUUUGUGAUAUAGACUAACAUUUCCGAAAGACAAAAGUCGG